UAAGGGUGUCUUUAAUUGCGUGAUUCCACAGAACGUAUCUUUGUUGAAUCGUGAUUCUGAAUUUUUUUUUGGGUGUAAUUAGAGGUGAUCCUGGGCAGAGUCAGAAUUCCACAAUUUCAACUGAAAGGUGACUCAUUCCUGAAUUAAGCAGAAUAGGUGAAUUCAGGAAUAAACCACCUGAUUCUACCCCAAAGAAAUACCUAAAUUCCAUUUAUAAUCAACAUUAUUGGGUUCAAAUCUCUAAAAACCACAAGAAGCACAAAACCACAGAGUACGACUCUCCCUCAGCAACUCAUCGUUGCCCCGCAGAGCACGACCUCUCCUGCAAUUGGUCGUCAUUCUCACCGUCUUUAGCAACUUCUAAGAAGGAGACCAUCGACUCUUUCCAGAUCUGGUACCUCUCUCUCUCUCCCCUCCUUCACUAGAUGCUUACAGUCUACGCUUUAUUUUGUUCAUUCAUCUUCAGUUUUUCCCCUUCUCCCACUCUUUCCAUUAUCUCUCCCUUUCUAGUCUUUGUGCCUCUCCCCCUCUCCCCCCCUUUCGGAAGGUUGGGGUAUUAAUCCCCAUCUGUGAUGCCCUAAUCCCAGAAGAGCAGCGGAAGUUAUCACAGAACCCAACCGUAAUCUGCUGAUUGCAACCAGUGGAGGCUUAAAUCGACAAAGGACAGGGUGUUGAAGACUUGAAGUUGGGGAACAAUGUCUACUUCUCAUGGUGGUGAUAUUGCAUGGUUACAUGGGGAUCCUAUGUCCGAUGAUAAGAAAAAGUCAAGGUAUCGAUAUUGUCAGAAGAUGGUAAAUUCUGGAGGUGCUACUAGGUUGAAGCAGCAUUUGGUUAAGGGGUAUAAUGAUGUUGCCAAAUGCCCCCAAACACCAUAUGAAGUCAUAAAAGAUGUACAACGUAGUCUAAGAGGUCGAAGGUUAAAGAAGGCAGAGAAACAAAGGUCAGACUAGGAAUUCGAUGAGGCAGCCUUAGAGAGUCAUCCUCACCCAACAACAGUGGAUGUUGACUCUGAUGACUGAUAAUGAUUAGAACCCAGAAUCAGGUAUGUCAAGGGGAGAAUGGAGAGAAUUACAAAAAGUUAAGGCAUCGAGCUUGGUCUCUCAUAAAAUAGAAAAGGUUAGGCGGGUAGAGAUGAAGAGAGGAGUAGGUGGCUCUGGUUCUAGAGCAGUUGCAUCAGAUAUGUCUUUUGCAGAGGAAAGAAUGAACAAGAAGCAAAGGAAUGUGGAUGUGCCUCUAAGGAGAGCUCAGAGUGUGAGGGUUGCCACACCCUUAUCACCACCCCGAAGAGAUCCUGAUGAGAGGCAAGAUCCCUUGUUAUUUAGACAGCAGGAUAAAUAUCAAAGAACCAUAAAGCAAGCUUCGGGUAUAUGGAAACAACUUGGGGAUGCAAUGUGAAAUUCUUUUUUUCUAUAAUAGCAUCCCAGCUAAUGCUGCAUAAGGGACAUAUUACCAGACCAUGAUUGACACUGCGAGAAGGGCUGGUCCAGGAACAAAGGGCCCACUCCUUAUAAGUUGAUGAAUGUUUAUUUGCCUCAUCAAAAGGAGUUAGAUGAGUACAUUAAUGGCUUGAAGACUCAGUGGGCCCAAUAUGGAGUUACUGUGAUGUGUGAUGGUUGGACUGGACCAACUAGACAGUCCAUUAUCAACUUCAUGGUCGAUUCUUAGUUGGUGGAGAGGAGCAGGAUAGUGUGGACUCCAUGGGCAUCUCUAGUAAGAGCUUGACUGACACACUAAGAGGCUUGAGCAUAAAGAGUGGUGCUGGUACUUGUAUUCUUUGGGAGCCGUUUGAUGCACCUUCAGCUAUAUAUGGCACAGGGACAACCGGUUUAGACUAUAGUCAUUAUAGUCAAUUUGGCCAAUUUGGAUACCCACAGCCACAGGCCAGCUCUUACCCCUCUGCCACUGAGUGUGGGGUUUAGUCACACAACUCACACCCUCAAAUUGGGUCAGGUUUUGUGGACAGCAUCUUCGGGGCUUCAGAGCCUUAGCCCUAGCCGUACAUGGUGAUUCCUGUCUGUUAAGCACUGAGCAGUAGCUAUGGAUCACGUUCCACCUCAUUUAGUUUCUGAGAUAUUGACCCAAGGAUUGGUACCUCCAGUUUGUUGGUGAUGAUGUUUAUAGGGUUGCUGUGGCUGGCUUUGAGUAUUACUUCCGUCAAACUAUGAUAUGGUCAGCUUUUGUGAUUCAAUCAGAACAAAACAUACUUCAACAUCAGCAAUAACAUAGAGGCUAUGAUGAUAUGGCCCAUCACUCAUUUCAGUACUAAGAGUCUUGUUUCUAGGAUGGAGAUGCAAUGUCCAGUUGUUUACUAUGUAAGUAUAUCUAUGUUAUGUACUUUAUGGCUUUAUGUUUACUUGUUAGUUGUUAUUUGUUAUGUUACAUUGUUACUUGUUAGUUGUUACUUGAAUGUAUAUGAUUCAUCAAUCAGCAGUAGGAAUUAGAAAUUAUGGCUUUUAUAUAUUCUAAUGAUUAAGUUGUGUCAAAAUGGUGAUUGUAGAAGGUGGAUUGAUGAAUAUAUCAUACUAGAUGAAGUGUUCGAAAACUCGCCGCAUACUUACAUAGGGUACAUUGUCAAAGUACCAUUUUGAGUUUGUUUUUCGCAAAUCUGAUGUUUCUAUUUUGUUUAGAAUGGCUAAAAUAGGAUAAAUACAUAGUUUUCGGGACCUACAAAGGUCAUAUGCCCAUCGAGAUCUACCAGCGAGUUGACCGCCCGAAAGACACAAGGUUUCAACGAGAUCUCGAUCUCCAGAUCUCAUUUUGGUUGGCGAGAUUGAGUUUUAAAACCUUGCCAGCAAUGAAGGACAAUUGGUUAGGACUGACCAAGGAUUCAAUGACAACCUGGAUGAGAUUAGUCAGGAUCUUGUUUAUGAACUUGUAGAGAAGGUUGCAGAUGGAAAUAGGUCUGAAAUCAAGCAUGGAAUUGGCACCCUCUUUUUUAGGGAUGAGGUAGAGGAAGACGUGGUUAACACAGUGGAUUUGACUGGGCGAGAGGUAGAAGUUGCGGAUAGUAUGGAUCAGGUCGGCUCUGAUGAUGUGCCAACAGGAAGAGAAGAACCCCAUACUAAAGACAUCAAGGCUGGGGGCCUUGUAAGCUUUGUGUAAGAGGAUGGCAGCCAGGAUCUCAUCCUCAAAAGGGAUGGAGUGGAGGGGGGAGAGAGCGGUCGGCGAUGAAUUUGUUGACGAGAUUGGAGGGGAUGAGAGGAGGUGUUGAAGGGGAGGGAGGGUAGAAGAGGUUCGAGAAGUAAGAGGCAGCUUUGGCUUUGAUAUCUUUUGGACUGGUGAGGGUGUGACCAGAGGAAGAUGGAGCAUGGGAAUCGAGUUAGCAUUGGACUGAGCCUUGAGUGAUCUGUGGAAGUACGGAAUGUUAGAAUCACCAAGCUCAAGCCGUUUGAUAUGGGAUUUUUGGGUAAAGAAGCUUUCUUCUUGGGCAAGGAGGGAGGAAAGCUCGACGGAGACCUCUUUCUCUUCUUCACCCGAGGAGGAAUUGAGUUGGUCCAGUUGAAGCCUGGAUUGGAUGAGAAGAAGCUUUUCCUUGUAGGCGGUAACAUUGGAGGAGAUGUUACCAAAGGAGUUAGAGUUCCAACUCUUGAGAGCAAAUUUGACAAUCCUAAGCUUACUAGCGAAGGCAAGGAGAGGGGACGAGAGAGUAUAGAUGGGAAUAGACCAGGUGACCUCAACAAUGGGGAGAAAUUCCUAGUGGAGAGACCACAUGUCAAAGGACUUGAAGGGUUUGGGCACGAAAGAAAUGAGAUGGUGAACAAGAAGAGAGAUGGGGGAGUGGUCAGAGACACCAAGAAGUUCAAAUGUGCAUGGGAGGAGGGGAAAGCUACAAGCAAUGCUUCGUUGACACGAGCACAAUCCAGCUUGCAAGCAAUUAUAGCCGGACCACUGUGGCAGUUCGACCAAGAGAAUUUGGAGCCCAACCAUUGGAGGUCGUUAACAUCGAUAUGAUUGAUGCAAUCACUGAAAGCUUCUAUGGAAGGAGAGUCAAUGAUACCCCCUCUGAUCUUCUCAUGGGAAGCCUUGAUGACAUUGAAGUCCCCAACCAUGCCCCAUGGGAGGGAGCUAGUGAAAGAGGCAAAGGAUUGAAGAUCCCCAAAGGGGGAUCCUAUCCAUAGGUCGGUUCAGGGCAUAGAUGGCCGAGAAGAAGUAACGGAGAGAGCCAUAGGGGGUGAAAAUGGAGAUAUGAAUAGAUUGGGAGGAGGAAAUGCCAGAAACUUGGAGGAGGGGGUCCCAAAGGAUCCACAUGCGACCAUUAGGGCAUUGGGCAUUGUUGGAAAGGAAGGACCAAGAGGGGGCAAUGAAGGCAAUGAUACAGGAAGCAUUGUGCUUAAGAACAUGAGUUCUCAAAAGGCAGUAGAGGGCAGCCCUAGAAGAUUUAAUGAGGGAACAAAUGGAGGCAUGUUGGGCCGGGGAAUUCAAACCACAACGAUUCCAAAUGGUCCAAGGGGUCAUUUUGAAGGGGACAGAUACAACGAGUGCUCGGGAGAGCAGGAAGGAAGCUUAGAGGAGCUAGAGGAGGGCUUAGGCCUUAACCGACUAUGGUACUCUUUGAUGGAAGAGGGGGUAGGAGCCUAGGUUUGCAUGGAUUUAGAAGUGGUCCCUUAAGAGGUAGGACAAGACUGGGGUUGAGAGGAAGUGGCUUUCCGGAUGAGGCAACAACAAGGAUAAUGGCAGGGGCCAAGUUAGCUUCAGCCCUAAAGAGGGGAAGGACUUCAGUAGUAGGGUCCAGUGGGCCAGAAGCUUAACAGAGGGUGGCAUGGGGGCCUAAGGAAGAACCAGUUGUUCAGGAUGAGGCUCCAGAGGGGAGAGAUGACCAAUAGCUGUAGGGGAUCGCACAAGGGUGGUCUCUAGCAGCUCGGGCAGGUGUAGAGUAGACCUGAGAGUCGAUGUUGUACCUUCCAAGAUAUUGCACAGUGUGACUAGAAGAGGAGGCCUUUGAGAAGUCCCAGGAGAGCUUGCCCGACCAAUAGGGGGCCUCGAGUAUGCUCUGACAUGAGGGGGGAAGGAGACCAUCUUGAGUGACAGGAACAAGGCCAGAUGUGGCAGCAGGUAUGGCAAUGGACAUGUCUUCAAAUGUGGCAAAGGCAGUAAGAAGAGAUGAACUUAUGGUGGAAGCAGAGGUGGAGGAUGAGGAAGCAGGCGUGGCAAUCUCAAUAGAGGCAGCAGAAGUAGACGAGCCGGCUAAUGGAGAAGUAGUGGCAUUGGAAGCAGAAGUUGUUGCGUAUCUAGUAGAGACGACAGCAGCAGAGGAGGGAGCAACGGAGGCAUCAUAGGAUAAAGCAGUUGAGGCGACCAAUGGAGGAGAGGUAGCAGACAUGGCAAUUGAGUAGAUACCAGCAGGAACGACGGAGAUUGAAGGAGCCAAGGUGGUAUCAGGAGCAGACAAGGCGUUGAUGGCGGCAAUAGGCAAGGCAUCAACGAUGGAAGCAACACAAGUGGUGUCGACUGGAAAGAAGGGCAAAUAGACUACCUGGUUGAUCGGUAAGGCUAAAGAGGUAAUAACCGAGGAUGCAAAAGGAGGAGGAGAGGAUAGGAGGCCAACAGUGAGGGCUGGUGAAGGAGGACAAUUCGGGUUAAGAUUUCCCAAAGGGUUCAGAGGAGAGGAUACGGGUAAGCGAUGGAGUUGGAAAACUCCAGGUGGACAACGAAAACAGGUGAGGAGGUAGGUAGGAGGAUUGGAUCAGAAGGGGGAAGGUUAGGAGCAGCAUUAAGUUGAUGGUUUGGGCGGUUGAGAUAGGAUAGAGUGGACCCAGUUUGGUUGGUUGGGAUUGGGUUAAGGAGGGUCAGAGCCGAUAGGGUUAGCUAAGGUCAAAGGGACAAACCUGUAGCGUGAGGGAGAGAAGAAGAAAGGAGAGGCUCAAAAACAGAGGGGAUCAAGAGGAUGGCGGUCCUAGAGCCAGAGGUGAGGCCAACGGUGGUAGAAUCGUGGCGAGAUGGGGCAACAACAUCGACAAUCGAAUAAGAGUCUGAGUUAGCCCUAGACGAACGUGCAAACAUAGCAUAGUUCAUGGAGUCAAUACCAUCAGUCGAGUCUCUGUUGGAAAGAACAGAGAACCUUUUCAAACUGAUGGGUAGAAGGACGUCAUCUAACAAACCAACAAAUUGAGGUCUUGCAUGUCCAGAGGUCUCUUCGGUCAAAAAGGCUCAUCGUAUGUGCGUAGACUAUAGAGCACUCAAUCAAUCAACUGUGAAGGAUAAAUUUCCCAUGCCUAUAAUUGACGAAUUGUUGGACGAGCUACAUGGAGCUAAUUACUUCACCAAACUCGAUUUAAGAUUGGGUUACCAUCAGAUUCGUAUAUACCUAGGGGAUAUCGAGAAGAUAGUGUUCCGAACACAUCAAGGUCACUAUGAAUACUUGGUGAUGCCCUUCGGAUUAACCAACACUUUGUCAACUUUCGAAGCUCUAAAGAAUUCUAUCUUCAAGGAUUAUCUUCAUAAGUUUUUACUAGUAUUCUUUGAUGAUAUUUUGGUUUAUAGUGAGAAUUUGAAAGAGCAUUUGGAACAUGUCAGCAUUGUAUUUUCUAUUUUAAUAUCUCAUCAAUUGUUUGCAAAAAAGAAAAAGUGUAGUUUUUGUCAGAAGGUGAAGAAUUUGGGCCAUAUCAUCUGCUAUGAAGGAGUGGUAGUAGAUCAAGAGAAAAUAGCAACUAUGCUUGAGUGGCCCAAGCCACAAUCAGUGAAGGCAUUGCGAGGGGUUUUAGGGUUGACGGGAUAUUAUUGUAAAUUCAUCCAAAAUUUCGGUACAAUCUCCUCUCACUAACAUGUUGAAGAAAGGAGGCUUUAAAUGGGGAGCCACGGUCUGAAGAAGCAUUUGUGCAGCUCAAACAAAUAAUGAUGCAAGCCCCUGUCCUUGAACUUCCUGAUUUUUCUAUAUCUUUCGAGAUCGAGUGUGAUGCUUCUAGUUCGGGCAUUGGAGGAGUGUUCAUGCAAGAAAAACGGCCAUUAGCUUUCUUUAGUCAUGCACUGCAAGGUAAAAAUUUAUUUAUAGCUAUUUAUAAAAAAGAAAUGCUAGCUUUGGUUCUUGCAAUGCAAUGUUGGAGGCAUUAUUUAUUGGGUCAACAAUUUAUUGUAAGAACGAACCAAAGAAGCUUGAAAUAUUUGUGGCAUCAGAAGAUUAUUACACCGGCCAGCAGAGAUGGUUAGUCAAAUUAAUGAGUUAUGAUUUUGUAAUUGCUUACAAAACUAGGAAAUAUAAUGUAGUGGCCAAUGCGUUAUCUAGAAGAGAAGAGAAGGGAGAGAAUUUUGCAAUAUCCAGUCCGACACCACGGUGGAUCAAACUAAUAUGAGAAGUGGAGAACAAUCCAAAGUUGCAAGAUAUGAUAAAACGUGUACAACAAGGGGAGGCGGUGGGACCAUGGUGCUACAAAGAAGGAAUUUUAUUUUUCAAAAACAAAAUUUAUCUAUUGGAAGAUUCUACAUUAGUUCCUAUUAUUGUGGAAGAAUUACACUCUAGCACACAUGAAGGCUAUCACAAGACCCUCCAACGGAUACACUCGGUUUACCAUUGGAGUGGGAUGAGGAGAAUAAUUAGAGAGCACAUCAAGCAAUGUGAUACUUGCCAACAUCAUAAAUGGGAGAACACCUCACUUGUUGGCCUAUUCCAUCACUUCCAAUUCCAAAUGAGGUAUGGACAGACUUAUCCAUGGAUUUUAUAGAGGGAUUACCAAAUUCUAAGGGUAAAUCUGUAAUUUUUGCGGUAGUAGAUUGUCUUUCAAAAUUUGUACAUUUUAUUCCCAUUUCUCACCCAUACUCAUCAACAUCAGUAGCUCAAGUAUUUUUUGAUAACAUUUUCAAAUUGUAUGGGAUGCCCAAGAGUAUUGUUUGUGACACA